rnacentral:lncRNA from 1 species
GGCACUGCAUAUUGAAGGUUGCAGCAAGUUCGAUGUAAAAGUUGCCGACGGCAGAAUCCUAAAGUGCAACCAAAGAUGCCCGCAGGUGAAACUAUUACUGCAAGACCAAGAAAUUAUCACCGAUUUCUUCCUCCUACCAAUCGAUGACUAUGAGGCAGUGCUUGGUAUAGAAUGGCUGACUACACUAGGUGAUGUCUCUU